rnacentral:rRNA from 1 species
AUGUGCAGUACGAGCAUCUUAAGUACAUGUGUUCUCAUUCUUGGUUUUCUAGCUCAUAAUCACAUUGGCCCAGGACAUAUUCCCAUACAUAUAAUUACCACAGUACUAUGGUUCUGUAAUAUCUCUAUGCUCAUACUAAACAUAUAUGGAGCAAUGAGCUAA